CUUUACAUUCUGUUUAUUAUCGUAGACAUUAUGGUUCAGUUGUGUUAUUACAUUUGAAUAGUCAGAAUUUCAUAAUAAAGGAUUUAUGGUUUUGGUAAACUUGAAAGGUUUUCUACCCCUCGUGGUAGUGUCUUUUCAAAAGAUAAAGAGUUCCCGUGUAGGGAACAAUUUUAAAAGGUUUUAUGUGGAUUUAUGUUUUAACAAAUGAAUGUGAAUCUGUGAUGAAUGGUGUAGGAAUGUACAUUGUUCAUUUAGCUGUGGUUGUAUUCCUGGAUAAAUACUUUAUACUUGUGCGACGCCAUGCAAAUACAGGGGAGACUCUGUCCGUGUGAACAGUGGGCUCUCUGUAUUUGUGGCGGAUCUGGCAUACCCUGGGGUCAGGUCUUUCAAAAAAAAAUUUUCGAUGUGUUUUUAUCAAAAAGGGA
rnacentral:lncRNA from 1 species